AUGGCGGAUGGCGGUCCAUGGCAGAGAACCAAAAUACCACCAUACCGGCCGCUUUGCAGCGCUGUUAUAGCGGAUUAUGACGGAAACAACCCCAACAUCAGCCAAUAUUUAGCAUUGCAGCGAGCCCAAAAUGCGCCAUGUACUAAAUCGCCGCCAAUAGUGGCGCGAUCGCGGCGGUGUAGAGAGGAGCCGCCGCCGAACGCUACAGAGAUGCCAGAUGCAUUUCACGAGAACUACACGGCGCGUGUAGCUGCCGUCACGGAGUUACGCAUCCGUCAUAAUGAAGAUUUUUAA